UCUUCCCUUUCUUUUUUAGAAAAAGCUGACAACUUUGGAUAUCGCUGCGAACAGGAUAAAAAAGAUUGAAAAUAUCAGCCAUUUGACUGAAUUAAAAGAAUUUUGGAUGAAUGACAACCAAAUUGAAAACUGGGCAGACUUGGACGAACUCAAAAACGCCAAAGGUCUAGAGACUGUCUAUCUGGAGAGAAACCCUUUGCAGAAGGACCCUCAAUACAGACGCAAGAUCAUGUUGGCUCUUCCCAGUGUCAGGCAGAUAGAUGCCACCUUCAUCCGUUUCUGAUCAUCCACCUCAUUGUGCCCUCCCUCACCCAAACCACCCACAGCAUAUUAUAAACGCACCACUACCAUAUUACCCUCAUGCACCUCAUGGACACUGUAUGCCCUGUUUAUCUCUUUUAUUAACUUUUUAACAACAAAAAAGAAGAAUCUCCCACUCCCAGUGUUGCCAUUCCACGUGCUGGCACCUUUUACUCACACAGAGACUAUGACUUGCGCUAUAGUGUGAAUGCUUGUUAAUUUAUUUUCAGUUUGAACUCAAAGGAGCUGGCGCCUGUUGUUCGGAAUAUAUAUCCGCGCUAAAUCUUACUGCCCUUAGCAUUUUGAUUAGGAAAUCAUUUCAUCAUAGUUAUCCCUUCUCUCUUCCAUCAAUUGAAAAUCAGAAAUUUCCACCCUGUAUGAUUUACAUCAGGCUUAUUUACUAUACGAGGUGGUAAAAAGGUCAGAAUUCACAUUGCAUUCAGGUACUAAAGAUGGCUAUGAGGAGCUCUUAUUCUUUGAUGUGAUCAGGGACUGUCUGCGUUAGUGUUAUGCUCUUAUGGAUUCUGUUUGCAUAUCAGUUCUGUUUGUGGCAGUAUGGCUGGUUGAAAUGACAUGACGCAUAUUGUUCACUCUUCAUUAAUACUGAAUAUUAUUAGAGGUUAAUUCCAUUAUAAACUAAGGUUAUGCCACACAAUCUUAAGUGAUUUUAGGGAUUCAAAAGAGCAAGGUGAUGGCAGGUGAUUAGUAUUUUUUUUAAUUACUUUUUUGUGAAAAAUUAAAUAUCACAUGCGCUCAAAAUAUUCACACAGAAACACCUCUUAUUAUAGUAUGAUCUGCGGAGUUGUUUUAUUCCCCCGCAAUAGGAGGUGAAUGGAAGAGGCCACAGUGUGGUGACUGUGUUUGGCCACUCCCAUUUGCCAUGAGAGAGGGGGGUCGGAGGGGUUUCUUUAUGGAAUGAACCCAGCCCCUUUAAAAAGGUUAAAAAACAACUGAAUAGGAUUGCUUUUAAUUUGCUUGAAUUUUCACUUUGUUUUACAAGCUUGGUUGACUGUUUCAGAAUUGAAUGUAUUAUAAAUAAACUGAAUUUGAACAAUG